rnacentral:rRNA from 1 species
UUAAGCUAGUAAGGGUAGUUGGUGGAUGCCUUGGUGUCGACAGGCGAUGAAGGACGUGACAAGCUGCGAUAAGCUUCGGGUAGCUGCAAAUAAGCGUUGAUCCGGAGAUUUCCGAAUGGGGAAACCCGAUGAGGCAAACCCUCAUCAUCUUCUUGAUGAAUAUAUAGUCUUGAGGAAGCUAACGGGGAGAACUGAAACAUCUUAGUACCCCCAGGAAUAGAAAGUAAAAACGAUUUCCUAAGUAGCGGCGAGCGAACGGGAAACAGCCUAAACCGAGUCGUACGUUAAAGCCUGCAUGUGUUGUGCGACCGGUGUCGUGGGAUCUGAUCUGACCCGUAUGCAGAGAGGGUCGAAGAGUUACAAACUCGUCUUCUAGCCGAAUCAUCUGGAAAGUUAAACCAAAGUGGGUGACAGUCCCGUAGGCGAAAGAAGAGCGAGCUCUUCCGAUCAGGCUCCCGAGUACCAUGGAACACGAGAAAUUUUGUGGGAAUUUGUGUGGACCACCACAUAAGGCUAAAUACUCGUCGAUGACCGAUAGUGAACUAGUACCGUGAGGGAAAGGUGAAAAGAACCCCUGACGGGGAGUGAAAUAGUACCUGAAACCAGUUACCUACAAGCAGUGGGAGGCUCGUGUCCUUCGGGACAUGUGGCUGACCGCGUGCCUUUUGCAUAAUGAUCCGGCGAGUUAAUCUAUGUAGCGAGGUUAAGUGGAGUCACCACGGAGCCGUAGCGAAAGCGAGUCCUAACUGGGCGAUUUAGUUGCAUGGAUUAGACCCGAAACCAGGUGAUCUACCCAUGGCCAGGAUGAAGCGCAAGUAAAAUUGCGUGGAGGUCCGAACCGUAGAAGGAUGAAAACUUCCCGGAUGAGCUGUGGGUAGGGGUGAAAGGCCAAUCAAACCUGGAAAUAGCUGGUUCUCCCCGAAAUAGUUUUAGGACUAGCCUCGUGUGAUGAAUUGCGGAGGUAGAGCACUGACUGGACUAGGGGUCCUACAAGACUACCAAACCCAAUCAAACUCCGAAUGCCGUUUAUUUUAACACGGGAGUCAGGCUGCGGGGGAUAAGCUCCGUAGCCGAGAGGGAAACAACCCAGACCAUCAGCUAAGGCCCCUAAAUAUAUGCUAAGUGAGAAAGGAUGUGAAUUUGCACAGACAACUGGGAUGUUGGCUUGGAAGCAGCCAUCAUUUAAAGAAAGCGUAACAGCUCACCAGUCAAGUGGAUUCGCGCCGAUAAUAGUCGGGACUAAAGCAUAUUGCCGAAGCUAUGGAUUCGUUCGAUCUUCGGAUCGGGCGUCUGGUAGGGGAGCGUUCUGUUAACGGCUGAAGCCGUAUCGUGAGAUAUAGUGGACGAAACAGAAGUGAUUAUGCCGGAAUGAGUAGCGAUAAAACAGGCGAGAAACCUGUUCACCGAAAGCCUAAGGUUUCCUGAGGAAGGCUAAUCCGCUCAGGGUAAGUCGGCCCCUAAGGUGAGGCUGAAAAGCGUAAUCGAUGGGAAUCCGGUUAAAAUUCCGGAACCACUAUAGAUGUGUUUGAGCUAUGGGGUGACGCAGGAGUGAAAGGUCAGCCAGCUGAUGGAAUAGCUGGUCCAAGCGGGUAGGAGGAUCGUCCAGGUAAAUCCAGACGGUCUUAACUCCGAGACGCGAUAGCGAGCGCUUUGCGCACAAAGUGGCCCUAAUCAUACUGCCAAGAAAAACCUCUAUGUGAAUGUCUGUAGUGACCGUACCGUAAACCGACACAGGUAGGCGAGGAGAGAAUCCUAAGGUGCUCGAGCGAACUCUUGUUAAGGAACUCGGCAAAAUGACCCCGUAACUUCGGGAGAAGGGGUGCCUUCAUCGGCGAUCUUCCCUUGCGGAAGUAAGCUAGUGGAGGCCGCAGAGAAACGGCCUGGGCGACUGUUUACUAAAAACAUAGGUCUAUGCAAAGUCGCAAGACGACGUAUAUGGACUGACACCUGCCCGGUGCUGGAAGGUUAAGGGGAUGCGUCAGGUUUAAUUUAUUAUUCCGAAGCGUUGAACUGAAGCCCCAGUAAACGGCGGCCGUAACUAUAACGGUCCUAAGGUAGCGAAAUUCCUUGUCGGGUAAGUUCCGACCUGCACGAA